rnacentral:rRNA from 1 species
UCAGACGAUGCGUUAUGCAUAUCAAUAAGCGGAGGAAAAGAAACUAACAAGGAUUCCCCUAGUAACGGCGAGUGAAGCGGGAAGAGCUCAAAUUUGAAAUCUUAAAGGGUUUCCCUUUACGAAUUGUAGUUUAAAGAAGUGUUUUCUGUUGAGGUUUUGGUAAAAGUUCUUUGGAAUAGGACAUCAUAGAGGGUGAGAAUCCCGUAUUUGACCUUUACUUUCAACUUUGUGAUACACUUUCAAAGAGUCGGAUUGUUUGGGAAUGCAGUCCAAAAUGGGUGGUAAAUUUCAUCUAAAGCUAAAUAUUGGCGAGAGACCGAUAGCGAACAAGUACCGUGAGGGAAAGAUGAAAAGAACUUUGAAAAGAGAGUUAAACAGUACGUGAAAUUGUCAAAAGGGAAGCGUUUGACACCAGUGUUGUUUUUCUGAAAAUCAAUUAAAGAACUGUUUAUGCUAAGUUGUUUAGACUUUAUCAGCUAACUGUUUAGUUUUGAGCUUUUCUUUAAUGCACUUUUCAGUUAACAAGUCAACAUCAAUUUCUUUUGCUGUAAAAAAGCUUGAGGAAGGUGGCUUGAGAUUCGUCUUAAGUGUUUAUAGCCUCUUGCCUAUGCAGUCGGAGAGAUUGAGGUCUGCAGCGUAGAUCCUUCGGGGCUAAAUGCAUUUGUGCUAAGUUAUAGCAUUUUAUAGACAACUUGUUGACUAUGAUUUGUCUUGUAGCUUACUCGCUUAUGUUAUUUUACCUACGCUUAGGAUGUUGAGCGCAUGUCUCUCUCU